AUUUUCCUAACUCCUGUCUGCAUCUUCCAUCUCCAGAUAACUUUUAUCUUUGAUCCUUGUGCUAUAAUUGCAAUACUCUCUUUAUAUAUUCACUUAAUUGGUUACAUUCAUUAAUUUAUUAUUUGGGAUUAAUCUUAAAGGGGUCAAAAUCCAGUUCCUUCAGAUUCAAGACAAUAUGUUUUCCCAGAGAACUGUGGGCGUUCACAAACAAGCACAUACACUCAAAUGGAUGCCUCAGCCUGCCAUCUGAGGUAAAUUAGUGCAGAUUGUUGGCCUCACCAAUACUCCUAAAAAGUUGGAAAACUAACUAAAAGCUAGUUUCAGAGUCCUCUUCAUAACAGUGUCUAGGGAGCUCAAAGACUUAAAGCCUGUCAGAGAAGAUGCUAAGUAGCAAGAGCAACAGCUUUCAUCUCUGUGUUUACUGGCGAGAGCUUUUCUUACAUGAAUACUCAUUCUAUUGGGUUUGUACAGCAGGCCAGCAGGUGGAGUCAUAAACUAUUAUGAGCAAAACUCUUAUUCCAAUGUACAAAUACACUGCACACAAUCAUUGUGUCAUUCUUUGAGCAUUCUGGCAUUUUCACUUAGAUUUUCCAUUUUUAUCGUGUGCGUUAAGAACAUGUGGUGUUGAUGCUACAGCACAAUUAGGACUUUCUUUGGUGUGUUCACCAUCUCUAGACAAUAUCAACUCGUGUCAGCAUUAUACAUUUUUCCAGGGGAGUAACAUCAACAGAAGAAGUGAAGGAAUGAAGAAUACAGGUAUGACUGCCAUGGGCUCUUCAUAAGGUUGGGUAAGGAUAGAAUUGGUUUGAUGAUUCGGUUAAUAAUUCUGGUUGAUUACAGGAACACUACACUGACAUCACUAGGGAAGACACUCAGCAUCUGUGGAUGUCGAUGGGUUGUAGACUUCAGGCAGUCAUUGCAUGCUAAGGAUUUGCAACCAAGUAUUAAAUGCUACAAAUUAAUUUAAGACGAUUUUAAUGUGUUUAAUUCCUUCUAGACCCCUAGAUUGGGAGAGACUGUAAUUCCUACAUGUGAAUACCAUCAAAUUAAACCUGACAGUCUGUACUUUAACAUUUCAGUCAUUGUUUCAUUUAAAACCCAUUGUCCUGGAGUACAGAGUCAAGGCAAAACCUCUGUCACUGUCCAAUUACUUAUGAACUGCUCUGUAUCUGCUGUAAUAGUGGAAUGAUCGUGUUUGACAUCAUUUACUUAUCAGGCAUUUUUAGGGUUGUUUUGUUAGGGGUAAAAGUUUACCAUCUAGGGUGUUACUGAGGGGACAGGCAGUAGAAUUAGUGCAGGAGAAUAUAACCUCCCUGAUUCCGAAUUGUUUGUGAAUAUACGUGAUCAUAAGUGACCAUACAGUAAUAUGCCGGUAUUUCUUAGUAAAGGUAGCUACUCUUUCGUCAGGAGACUAGCAUUAAAAGGUCAUGUGUUUCACGGUCUAUGCACAUCUUCUUUGCUUCUCUUCAGUCAAGUAGACAUGUGUAGACAUGUACAGUAGACACAUAGAAACAGUCGUCUCUUGCCAUUGCUUACCAUCAUUUUUUCCCCAAACUAAUGGCCAUUUUCCACUGCAUGGUACCGGCUCAACUACACCCCUGUAGCCUCGACUUUCAUCACUUUAAGGGCGAAAGUAUUUUUAAUGUUUUUCAACACUGUCGUGUCUGUAGAUAGCACUGUAGUGAUUGUGAAUUGCAUGUAAGGCAAGACAAUCGCCAUUUUGCAAGAUAGGAAUCCCACGUUCUAGUAAUGUAAAAACUGGAUCAUUUUAGUGACUUGGUUCUUUAAGUCUCUUUUUUAGGGUGUGUAGGCUAUCAGCUAUAUGCUCUGAAUUGGACAAUAGAACAUGUGGUUUAUGACAUUGUUUUACUACAAUUUGAUGAACUCCCGAAACUCAAAGCUAUGGUGAGUUCUGUUCUGCGCUAUUAUAAAUAACUAAGUGUUGUUAGGUUACUGAUUAAGAACGUAAUGACUGUUUUGUAAUAAACAAUGACAAUAUUCUAUUACAACAUUCAAAUUAUUUAGUUAAAGUCACUGGUAGCUGAACACAAGUUCUAAACCAUUGGCUGGAAAACAAAUUAUAGAAACCAAGCUUGAAAAAAACAGCGUUGGCCUUUCUUCGUGUGUCCUUAAGUUUCGUUGCUUACUAUUUUUAGUUUCUUUGUUUAUCCUCAAGUUCAGAUGAUUUGUGUUUCUUUGCAUAUCAACAUUUGAACAGGGUAAAAGCUUACAAAACCUUCCAGCGUGGGCCCCUACCACCCCACAACACCCUGUGGAUUGCAGCCCUGGAGGAUGGAGCAAGCACAGUACUCCAAGGCACCAGAGUGGUACUCCACGCCACAAUGUGGAGGACUGCUACAUAGGUAAGUGUGGGUUAAUUCACUUAAACCAGAUGCUUAACUUUUUAUUAAAGCAUGUUGCUUCUAAUUUUAUUUGUCAAUUUCAUUUUAAUUUUAAGGGAAAUUAGACUUGGGGCAUGUUUUAGCUCUGCACAUGAAGGUAAGAAUGAAUAUUUUGGCAGACACUGAGAUUUGAGUUCGGAUUGGAAAAUAACCAAAUAUUUAGGACUGAAUAAUUACUGUCUGCAUUUACAUUCAGAACAUUUGGAGAAGAUCAGGCAGCUGACUGAAGAGAAGGUUGAGCUGACGGCACAGCUGGCUCUACAAUCAGUUAAAAACAAAACUAUUGUUACGCUAGCAUCUUGUUUUAAUGAAACUGCAUUUGUCUGAACGUGUGCCCUUUACUAAAAUGCUUUGAAGUACAGCCUUUCUGAAAUUACAUGUAUCAGGCAGUUUUGUUUAUUUCAAUAUUAAGCUAUUGACAUUUCUUGUGCUUUUAAGCUUCUGAUAAACGUCUGACUGAAGAGAAUGUCAAGCUGAGGGCCCAGCUGGCUCAACAAUCAGGAGCCAUAAGGAAGAAUCCUUCCUACCGGGAAUCAUGCCAUCGAUGAAGCUGUCCAGAACCAGGUCCCCAGGUACCAGAAAGGGGCAGCUGACCGUGUAAGUGGGAGAAGAUGUCGCGGUGGUACAAGGGACCUGCCGUGAAUAUGAAUGACAUCUCCAGCACAACCAAUAUUGCUGCUAAUAUUUCACUUAGGGGUGUACUCACGUUUUCUUGUAGAAUUGUUUUUGUUUUAUUUAUUUCAAUGCAUGUUUUUUGUAUGCAUCUUGCACUAUUUGAAAUUAAUUUAUAUUUUAUUCAGUUCAUUGUCAUUUGUGAUAUGACCAAAAUUAUUGUAAAUUAUUAUGAAUAAAACCUAAUAUUGGGGCGUCCAGCACCAUCCAAAGCUACACACUUGGUCUUGCAGAAUGCUUCAUCCAGAAAACAUUUACCUGUAACAUCACACCUGGUUCAUCUUUGCGGUUGGGGCUAACUUGGCCCCCACCUUGUAUGUCCGCUCCUUUCAGGAGAAGUAAAUAGGCCCAAUGGUGUGAGAUUUGGAUGUCCCACUGUGUUGAGACUCCAGACAACAUGGCACCUUCACAAACCUUCCAAAACACAUCUUUCAUUACACUACAGAUGCAUACAACAGGGCAUCCUAAACUUUGUAAUUUGGUCAACAGAGUACAUUAGUGAGAAAAGUUAGUUUGAAUGAACUGUUUGUUGCUUUAAUUCAGCUUACUCCAACAAAAUGGUAGCAAAUUAGGGAUAUCUCUUUUAAAGUGUCUAAAAUCAAUUUGGAGAAAGAAUCACUAGCGUAACUGCCUGUUCAUUGUCUGCUUCCACAUCACUCAUGCAAACUCAAACACCCUACUCUAUUUAAAUGUAGUAUUGCUAACCAAGUUACAUAUCCUGGGAAAUGUCUACUAGUGACCUUCUUAUGCUUUCACUAACACAAAGUCAGAAAUAUGGCCCUUUGUAGUUCUAGCUUGUCUUCUUCAAAUAAAAUGUUAAACCCAAUGGAGUCUCAUGUAGCUCAGAUGGUAAGGGAUUUGCACAUGCAACGCCAGGGUUGUAGGGUCAUUUCCCACAGGGGGUAAGAAUAAAAAAUAUGACAAUUUACAAUUAGGACCUGCUAAAUACCUUAUUUAAAUGUCUACACCUAAGCACACUGCUAACCCUAAUUUUAUGUAAAGUUAGUGACUUGUUUGAGUUUCUACAAUAUCCCCAAUGACUUCAUGUAAAACAGAAAGUAUCCCACUUUCUCUUUCUCACUCUGCAUAGCCACUGCUUUUACUGUUCCGUCAUGAAAAUGACAAAAUAUUUAAUUAAAAUGUUAUUCUCUUCACUUGCCACUGUUCUGUCAAAGAAAAUGUUGCGUAAGG
ensembl:lncRNA